AUUGAACGCUGGCGGCAGGCCUAACACAUGCAAGUCGAGCGGGGUUUUCGGACCUAGCGGCGGACGGGUGAGUAAUGCGUAGGAAGCUACCCGAUAGAGGGGGAUACCAGUUGGAAACGACUGUUAAUACCGCAUAAUGUCUACGGACCAAGGUGUGGGACCUUCGGGCCACAUGCUAUCGGAUGCGCCUACGUGGGAUUAGCUAGUUGGUGAGGUAAUGGCUCACCAAGGCGACGAUCCCUAGCUGGUUUGAGAGGAUGAUCAGCCACACUGGAACUGAGACACGGUCCAGACUCCUACGGGAGGCAGCAGUGGGGAAUAUUGGACAAUGGGCGCAAGCCUGAUCCAGCCAUGCCGCGUGUGUGAAGAAGGCCUUCGGGUUGUGAAGCACUUUCAGUAGGGAGGAGGCGUUGUGUGUUAAUAGUACACAGCGUUGACGUUACCUACAGAAGAAGCACCGGCUAACUCUGUGCCAGCCGCCGCGGUAAAAC
rnacentral:rRNA from 1 species